CAGUAGCCACGGGAAUACGUAGGGUGCGAGCGUUAAUCGGAAUUACUGGGCGUAAAGCGUGCGCAGGCGGCUUUGCAAGACAGAUGUGAAAUCCCCGGGCUCAACCUGGGAACUGCAUUUGUGACUGCAAGGCUAGAGUGCGGCAGAGGGAGAUGGAAUUCUGCGUGUAGCAGUGAAAUGCGUAGAUAUGCGGAGGAACACCGAUGGCGAAGGCAAUCUCCUGGGCCUGCACUGACGCUCAUGCACGAAAGCGUGGGGAGCAAAUGGGAUUAGAUACCCGCGUAGUCCCUGUCUCUUAUAC
rnacentral:rRNA from 1 species